rnacentral:rRNA from 1 species
GAUGAACGCUAGCGAUAGGCCUAACACAUGCAAGUCGAGGGGCAUCACAUGAAGUAGCAAUACGGAUGGUGGCGACCGGCGCACGGGUGAGUAACACGUAUGCAACCUGCCUUCAACAAGGGGAUAACCCGUUGAAAGACGGACUAAUACCCUAUAACACAGGGGUCCCGCAUGGGAAUAUUUGUUAAAGGACAACCGGUUGAAGAUGGGCAUGCGUUCCAUUAGCUAGUUGGCGGGGUAAGGGCCCACCAAGGCAACGAUGGAUAGGGGAACUGAGAGGUUUAUCCCCCACACUGGUACUGAGACACGGACCAGACUCCUACGGGAGGCAGCAGUGAGGAAUAUUGGUCAAUGGACGCAAGUCUGAACCAGCCACGUCGCGUGAAGGAAGACGGCCCUACGGGUUGUAAACUUCUUUUAUACGGGAAUAAAGUGCCCCACGCGUGGGGUUUUGCAUGUACCGUAUGAAUAAGGAUCGGCUAACU